AGUGGUAGACAGAACAACCAGCUCUUUGUCUGUGAAGUCAAAUCCAUCCAUAACAUCUGAUGCCACUGUUAAAUCAAGUGUUGUGCCUACUAAAUCAAACACUUCUGCAAAAUCCCUCCUCUCAGAAGCUGAAGAGCCUGACAGAAGAUCAACAAGUGUGGCCUCUAAUGCAUCUGCAGAAACUAAAAUGUCUAAAGCAGAUGUGAACAUAAAAGCAAACCGUUCACCAAGCAAAUUGUCAGUAAAAUCAAAUGUAUCUUCAAGAUCCAAGAAGUCUAAAAUUUCUGAGGGUGAGGACCAUACACACACAAACACGGAAGAUACAGAAUUAAACAGAGAUACAAAAGUAUCUCAAACAGAGAACUCAAAUGAAUGUAUUUGUGGUGCAAGUAACAAACUAUCAAGUCCAGUGGCAUCUUCUGAAAAUGACUUUGACUAUGAAGAGAUACCUGCAAGUCCUCUGUCUAAAAAGUCAGCAAAGUCCAAAGUCAGUUCAGUUAGUUCUGCCUCUGAAAGAGUUUUUACACCAACAAGCACCUCAGUUUCUAUUGGGAUUGUUGAAGACCAUGAGGCUGAUGAUGUUGAGGAAAUAGAUGGAGGAGCUGUUUCAAUUAACUCAAGAAUAUCUGCUUCUUCAAAGACUGAAAUAUGUGGUAAAUCUGACCAGUGUUUAUCAGAAUCUCCAGUAGAAAUCUUAAAUGAAGCAACACCGACACCAGAGGAAAGACCUAGAAGUUCUGCAUCAGCUAAGUCAAAUGUCUCAGGUAAAUCGAAGUCCAAAAGCUCUCAUUGCGGCACUAAAUGUCCUGCAGACACAAUUCAGGACAGAGAUGAUGUAUCAAGUAAUAAAUCCUCCAAAAUAAAGUAUUUAAUGACUUUAUCUGUAAGCCAACCAUCAGCCAACAGUUCAGUGAAGCAGAGCUCUCAAACCCAUGGGAUUCGCCCAUCUAGCAAAGCUUCUGAUAUGUCUGUACACACUGAAAUCACAGAUCAAGAGAAAGCUGAAAGUCCAGAUGUUACCCAUAAAUCGCAAAGUGUCUGUUCAAAAUGCAGUUCUACAAAACAGAAAGGAAAAAUUUCAUGUGCUUCAAGUACCUCAGCAAUCUCAAACUCUGAGAAAUCCAAAACUAAAGAAGGAAAUACUGCAGAAAUGACCGACAGACCAAAGAGUAAUAUAUCCAGUUCAUCAUCUCGUUUGAAAGUAAAUGGUCAAAAGAAUGAUGUUGAAGCUACAGCUGUUAAUGAAAAAAACAAUAAAUUAAACACCAAGUCAACACAGAAAGUUGAGGACAAUGGACCCAAGUGUCAUUCAGCGACUUCUGUUACCUCAGGAAACCACCUAAGUCCUAGCCCACUGAAAUCUCCUAAAAAAUCCAAAAAACCUGUUAUUCUACUUGGCAGCUCUAAUGAUAGCAUGUUAUCACAGACAGGUCCUGCUCCAGAACCAAAAGAAGAAUAUAUUGACCAUUUGAAUGCAGCAGCAAAAAAAACCCAGUCUUGUAGAUCUGAUACAAAUGUCAGUGAAAUUAAAAGUGAAAAAAGUAGCAAAUGUAGAAAAAGAAUUGGAAGUGGCUCUUCUUGUCUCAAGAUGGAUGAUGACACAUCUCAGCUGAGUCCUUCCUGCUUGCCAAAUGCUUCUCCAACUGAGGUGGUGAACGAGUGGCUGAAGAAAAUCCCAUUAGACACCACCUUGUGUGAUUUGGGCGACGAAUUCCAUGACAAUUAUGAUUCGAUAGAGCCACUUUGCACAUCACAUGUGCCAUCAGGAGAUGAUAAUGAGCAUGGAAGUUUGCAGCCAAGUGAUGUUACCAAGAUUGAAACACAAAAUGAAAUGGAAGAUGCUCAUGUGGUGAAUAAAGAAGGGACAAAUGACAAAAAAUCUCCUGAAGUUGCUGAGGGUGAUCACACACAGAGAGGGGAUGAACCAAAGAUGUUUGAUUCUUCGGUUCUGGUCAUGAAAGUCUUGUUGAGCCCCAAACUCGACCGAUGCAAUAGCCUACCAGAGGUAUCUUCUGUAUAUGGACGUAAGCUCAGUGCAUCAGCACAAGGUCUUCUGGAUUGUUUGGCAAAUCUUCAGUUGUUAGACUUUGGUCCUAGUACUGAAGACGGUAAAAAGGAAAAAUACCAGGAGCUCAUGAGCAUGCUCAAGUCUCUUUGGCUUUGUGACCCAAAAGACAGUGAGAAGACAUCUGGGGAAAGAAACAAGCAUCUGGAUGAGGAAUUCAAAGCCAGGUCAUCCUCGGGGGUAGAUGUUAACAGUGGCUCAACAGGUUCAGGGAAAAGUAGUGACAAUGAUGGCACCCAAGCACAAAUCAACACAGAAUGUGAAGUCCUGGAAACCCUGACAAAGUUACAGGAAGUUGAUGAAACAGUAGAAGGGGAAGCUUCAGAAAUACCAGGAUCAAAACAUGAUUCAGCCACUCCAGAUAUAGCAAAUCAAGCUCAGUUAACCCCAGAGACAAAGGACACAGAUGAAGGAAAGCUAAAAGAUGAUGUCCCAGGCUCUGAAGAGACAAUCAAGAGUAAUGAUAGUCCAAGGGAACUCAUUGAAACACCUCUUUCCUCAAACAAGAGUUCUGGGAAUAAUCCCAAAAAAGAGGAAACUGAAUCAGACCGUCAAGAGGACACAAGUUCAGGCAGUGCUCCAAAACAACAAAGAGGUCAGUUAUCAAAAAGUCUUUCUCAAGACCCAGAUCCUGUAUGGGUUCUGAAUUUAUUGAACAA
ensembl:lncRNA